CCUACGGGUGGCAGCAGUGGGGAAUAUUGCACAAUGGGGGAAACCCUGAUGCAGCGACGCCGCGUGAGUGAAGAAGUAUUUCGGUAUGUAAAGCCCUAUCAGCAGGGAAGAAAAUGACGGUAACUGACUAAGAAGCCCCGGCUAAAUACGUGCCAGCAGCCGCGGUAAUACGUAGGGGGCAAGCGUGAUCCGGAUUUACUGGGUGUAAAGGGAGCGUAGGUGGGAUGGCAAGUCAGAAGUGAAAACCCAGGGCGCAACUCUGUGGAUUGCUUUUGGAACUAUCAAGCUAGAGUGCUGGAGGAGUAAGCGGAAUGCCUAGUGUAGCGGUGAAAUGCAUAGAUAUUAGGAGGAACACCGGUGGCGAAGGCGGCUUACUGG
rnacentral:rRNA from 1 species